rnacentral:rRNA from 1 species
UGGGGAAUAUUGGACAAUGGGCGCAAGCCUGAUCCAGCCAUGCCGCGUGAGUGACGAAGGUCUUCGGAUUGUAAAACUCUUUUGGCGGGGACGAUAAUGACGGUACCCGCAGAAUAAGCCCCGGCUAACUUCGUGCCAGCAGCCGCGGUAAUACGAAGGGGGCUAGCGUUGUUCGGAAUCACUGGGCGUAAAGCGCACGUAGGCGGAUGUGCCAGUCAGGGGUGAAAUCCCGGAGCUCAACUCCGGAACUGCCUCUGAUACUGCACGUCUUGAGUUCGAGAGAGGUGGGUGGAAUUCCUAGUGUAGAGGUGAAAUUCGUAGAUAUUAGGAAGAACACCAGUGGCGAAGGCGGCUAACUGGUCCGGUACUGACGCUGAGGUGCGAAAGCGUGGGGAGCAAACAGGAUUAGAUACCCAAGUAGUCCCUGAGCGGGCUGGCAAGGCGCAU